rnacentral:rRNA from 2 species
UUUCYCCCGSCGUMURRRUUUUWWWWUUUCWGCWCAGGACGAACGCUGCGGCGUGCCUAAUACAUGCAAGUCGAGCGGACAGAAGGGAGCUUGCUCCCGGAUGUUAGCGGCGGACGGGUGAGUAACACGUGGGUAACCUGCCUGUAAGACUGGGAUAACUCCGGGAAACCGGAGCUAAUACCGGAUAGUUCCUUGAACCGCAUGGUUCAAGGAUGAAAGACGGUUUCGKCUGUCACUUACAGAUGGACCCGCGGCGCAUUAGCUAGUUGGUGAGGUAACKGCUCACCAAGGCGACGAUGCGUAGCCGACCUGAGAGGGUGAUCGGCCACACUGGGACUGAGACACGGCCCAGACUCCUACGGGAGGCAGCAGUAGGGAAUCUUCCGCAAUGGACGAAAGUCUGACGGAGCAACGCCGCGUGAGUGAUGAAGGUUUUCGGAUCGUAAAGCUCUGUUGUUAGGGAAGAACAAGUGCAAGAGUAACUGCUUGCACCUUGACGGUACCUAACCAGAAAGCCACGGCUAACUACGUGCCAGCAGCCGCGGUAAUACGUAGGUGGCAAGCGUUGUCCGGAAUUAUUGGGCGUAAAGGGCUCGCAGGCGGUUUCUUAAGUCUGAUGUGAAAGCCCCCGGCUCAACCGGGGAGGGUCAUUGGAAACUGGGAAACUUGAGUGCAGAAGAGGAGAGUGGAAUUCCACGUGUAGCGGUGAAAUGCGUAGAGAUGUGGAGGAACACCAGUGGCGAAGGCGACUCUCUGGUCUGUAACUGACGCUGAGGAGCGAAAGCGUGGGGAGCGAACAGGAUUAGAUACCCUGGUAGUCCACGCCGUAAACGAUGAGUGCUAAGUGUUAGGGGGUUUCCGCCCCUUAGUGCUGCAGCUAACGCAWUAAGCACUCCGCC